rnacentral:rRNA from 1 species
ACGCUAGCGGGAGGCCUAACACAUGCAAGCCGAGCGGUAUUUGUCUUUCGGGACAGAGAGGGCGGCGUACGGGUGCGGAACACGUGUGCAACCUACCUUUAUCAGGGGGAUAGCCUUUCGAAAGGAAGAUUAAUACCCCAUAAUAUAUUGAUUGGCAUCAGUUAAUAUUGAAAACUCCGGUGGAUAGAGAUGGGCACGCGCAAGAUUAGAUAGUUGGUAGGGUAACGGCCUACCAAGUCAGUGAUCUUUAGGGGGCCUGAGAGGGUGAUCCCCCACACUGGUACUGAGACACGGACCAGACUCCUACGGGAGGCAGCAGUGAGGAAUAUUGGACAAUGGGUGAGAGCCUGAUCCAGCCAUCCCGCGUGAAGGACGACGGCCCUAUGGGUUGUAAACUUCUUUUGUAUAGGGAUAAACCUACUCUCGUGAGAGUAGCUGAAGGUACUAUACGAAUAAGCACCGGCUAACUCCGUGCCAGCAGCCGCGGUAAUACGGAGGGUGCAAGCGUUAUCCGGAUUUAUUGGGUUUAAAGGGUCCGUAGGCGGAUCUGUAAGUCAGUGGUGAAAUCUCAUAGCUUAACUAUGAAACUGCCAUUGAUACUGCAGGUCUUGAGUAAAGUAGAAGUGGCUGGAAUAAGUAGUGUAGCGGUGAAAUGCAUAGGUAUUACUUAGAACACCAAUUGCGAAGGCAGGUCACUAUGUUUUAACUGACGCUGAUGGACGAAAGCGUGGGGAGCGAAAC